CUAAGAAUCUUCCACAAUGGACGAAAGUCUGAUGGAGCGACGCCGCGUGGGUGAUGAAGGCGGUAACGUUGUAAAGCCCUUUUAUAGGCGAGGAAUAAGGUCAGGAGGGAAUGCCUGGCUGAUGACGGUAGCUUAUGAAUAAGCCCCGGCUAAUUACGUGCCAGCAGCCGCGGUAACACGUAUGGGGCGAGCGUUGUUCGGAAUUAUUGGGCGUAAAGGGUGCGCAGGCGGUUAUGCAAGUCUGGUGUCAAAGCCCGCAGCUCAACUGCGGAAGGGCAUUGGAAACUGCAUGACUCGAGUUCGUGAGGGGUAGCUGGAAUUCCAGGUGUAGGGGUGAAAUCUGUAGAUAUCUGGAAGAACAUCAAUGGCGAAGGCAAGCUACUGGCACUGAACUGACGCU
rnacentral:rRNA from 1 species